CCUACGGGAGGCAGCAGUGGGGGAUAUUGCACAAUGGGGGGAACCCUGAUGCAGCGAAGCCGCGUGGGGGAAGAAGGGCCUCGGCGAGGAAAGCCCUGUCAGCAGGGAAGAAAAGGACGGUACCGGAAGAAGAAGCCACGGAGAACUACGUGCCAGCAGGAGCGGUAAUACGGAGGGGGCAAGCGUUAUCCGGAGUUACUGGGUGUAAAGGGGGCGCAGCCGGCGCUGCAAGCCAGGAGGGACAGCCCGGGGCCCACCCCCGGUCCUGCUCUUGGAACUGCGGGGCGUGAGUGCAGGCGGGGCAGGCGGAAUUCCUGGUGUAGCGGUGACAUGCGUAGAUAUCAGGAGG
rnacentral:rRNA from 1 species